CAGCCACAUCAUGUUGAAACACCGGUUCUCAUGUGAUCACCAAAGUUAAGCAACACCAAGCCUGGUUAAUACCUAAAUGGGUGACCACUUGGGAAUAUCAGGUGCUGUAAG